UAUUGCCUUCUGUCUGAUUUCAGACAACCUUC
rnacentral:piRNA from 1 species